GUGAAUCAUCGAAUUUUUGAACGCAAAUUGCACUCUCCUCGAAGAGUAUGCCUGUUUGAGGGUCAGCCUAUAAAAAAUCGACAUCGUUUCUGUUUCCCGGUGUCGUUCGUCGGAAAUUGGUGCAUCUUAAAUCCUUUUGGUUUUUAAGCGACUUAAAAUUUUCUUUUUGGUUCCAUGAACUUGUCUAAGAUUUAUUUCUUUACACGUUUAAGGUAUCUAUUUUUAUUAUACUUGACCAUCAUAUCGGAUUGCGUCCAUAAUCUUUCAGUAACUGACCGCAUACAGGUAA
rnacentral:misc_RNA from 1 species